UACCACACAGGCAAAGGUGGCUGCCACCCGCCCUCCUGCCCUCCACAAUCCUGUGGCUUCCUGCGAAAUCCACUGUGGUUUUUAAUGGGUGGGUUGUAGCAGCUGGGGCUGCAGCCAGUCCUAGAGUGUGAAGAAGAGAAGUCCAAAGUCCUUCUCUGACAGAUAAUGCGGCUUUCCAUUUCCAGAAAAUUGAUUUUUCUUUUUUCUUUGUUUUUAUUAGUGGUUUUAUUCACGGACUGCAGUCACUAGAACAGAGAGUAAAAGUUCCUCUUUCAUACAAUGCUGACUUUGUGACCUCCCCAGUGAAAUCUGGGAAACAAAGGUUUCUAGGAAUUUGCUCCCUGCCUCUUGACACGUACCUUCAUUAUUAGCAAUGUGAACAUACCUGUCAUGCUGACAGCAAAAAAUCAGUAUUUGCAAAUUUGGUUCAGAUACAAGCUAGUCUGACAGGCGUUUCCAAGCACAGAAUGGGUGAGAAAGUACACUUGUGUAAAUAUAUCUAUUCCAACCCAAAAUGGCCAAGUAUCCAGACAUUGAAAGUACACACACAUUAUUUCCAUCCUUCUUUGCAAGAAGAGGAUUUCUAUGCUGUGCUUAAAUUUAGGUGCAUAGAAGGCUAAUACCAAUAACCUGGUCUUGCUUCCUGACAGCUAGAAGGGUGCUACAGCUGCUCUUGAGAAAAAUUUAAGACUCAGACUUCCCCCACCUCCCCUUCGUAGCAUACAAAGGAAUGGGACCAAACACUGCUUUUAGUAGCAACCCGUUUUCUCUGUCAAGCAAAAUGUCUGUCUUCCUGUAAAUCAACUUGCCAUAUUUCCAUACAUGCCUUGUGAGAAUUGCUACCACCCCCUCGGGAAAUACUUUGUACCAAUAACUUCUUAAAACAACAGUUCUUGGAAGGUGUGGAUUGCCUAAUGCCAGGAGGCUUCUGCAAUCUGUCAGGUGGGAAUCGCAUCCUUUGGCUGAUUGCCAGCCCCUGUUACUGAGCAGGGCUGGACACUUAGGGGGUGUUUAAAGAGGACAAUCUUUAGUCACCAUGCACAUCUCCUCCAAAACAGCAUGAUCUACACAGCCUAGAAGUCCUAAAGGACUUCUAGAAAAUCAGCACAGCAUGACUAGGAAACAGUGUGUUCUCCAGUGUGUUUACAGGUUAUUUGUGAAAUUUGGACUCCAGAAAUGCAAGCAGCCUCACUAAAAGGAAAUUUCAGAUUGCAGUUGCACCACCCUUAUUCCUUAUUCUCACAGGUUGCAGUGUUUCAAGACACUGCAUUCCAAAUGAAAACAAUUACUCCUGCAAUAUUAUCUGCCAGGCAGGAUUCUGUGGGCAGGGGUUAAUGGUGGAGCAGUUUAUUAUAUCCUUUCCUUUUGGCAGAUGUAAUCAAUCAAGAGGCAAUGAAUCUUCUUGUGGAUUCCCUGAAAACUUGUCAUAGGCUAACUCCCACCUCCAAGUACUAUUUCUGAGGAGCAGCAAAGAGCCAAGUCAUUUUUGCAGCACCUACUCCAUUUCUCCAAUGCUGCACUCCUAUUUCCUUACCCCUGUGUUUGAGUAAUAGUGUAGCAGGACUGUGUGCUUCCUGCAGGUUUGGGUCCCAUGCACAAGAAGCUAGAAUUCUUCUGAGACUUUCUAGUACCCAGUUUCUCCAGACCUUGCUGAGGGCUGGCACUGAUAAUUUCUCAUCUGUAACAAAUGCUUUUAUAAGUACCCAGUGGCUGGCUAUUAAUUUUCAAAGUCAAGAUGUGAAUAGCUGAAUCAACUCUACAGAAACACAGUUAUAAGUGAACAGAAAAAAAUGGCAGAAUGAAACUGCACUUUAGCUGUUCAAGUAGACAAGUAACACACUGAACACACCUUCCUUAAUGAAGGAAGUUGACAUGUGCAGUUUGACUUCAUCAGCUGAGCAGCAGCAGUUUUAUAGUGCCCGUGUUGUUGUGAUCUGCACUGUAACCUUGUUUUCCUGCAGAAUUGGAUUGGAAGUCAGCAGAGCUGUAGGUCUCCCUGCCGUGUAACAGCAGAUGAGGUCUUGUGAUGGGUUGCAAUUAGUUUGAUUCACAUGGAGGAUGUGGUACCGCUGAUUCAUCCUGCUAAAAAUGGCCAAGGGAGCGAGGAAACCACAGUGAACAGGACUACAUGGAUGGCUUGAAGCCUUUUGUGUAUGGUGAGCUAUUGGAUAGAAGAUGACUGAUCUUUUAGUCCUGGUCUCUUGAGCACUGAUUUGUGACUGCUCUCAUUUAGUCUGUAAGACAGACUGUGCUGUGUCAUUUCUGCACAGAGCAAUGACAGAGAUGCCUGGGUCAGAGCAGGAAUAAAAAUAAAAAGAGUACAUGGUUGUUAUCAGUGUCUCGGCAACAUACUGAAAAUACGGGUCCAGGUGAAG